rnacentral:lncRNA from 1 species
CUCUAUCAACUCUUCAUUCAUUGACCUUUCAACAUCUUUCCUUCCUCCUUUUUUAGAAUACUUUGAAAUCUUACCAUACCUAUGAUUGAUGUCAUGCAUUUAUCUAAAAACCUCAAUUCUGAAUAGUGAUAUAGGGAUAAGUCAUAGUUCUAUAGUAUCAUCAAAUACAUCUUGUUAAAUCGAAAUGGAUGGUUGGUUUCCAACCAUCGAUGAUGGCCUAUAUAACAGAACUUUCCUCCAUAUUUUAAUCAACAUAAAUGGAUAGAAUUCCCAUAUGAGGGAUAUGCAUUAUGCCCCUUUGUGCUCCAUCUAGAUAAAUUGGCAUAUGUAGAAAAAUUAUUGAUAAUCCAUAUAAGAGCUGCACUCAAUUUGAAUAUCUGACUACUACAAGCAUCAAAUGAACUAAUACCCUUCCAUAGAUGUUUCAAUUCCUCUAUUAAAGAUUGCAAAAAGAUAUCAAUAUUGUUGGGAGAAUUUUGGAGUGGGCCGAUAAUAUGAAG